ACCUCUUGGUCUCGGUGGUGGUA
rnacentral:siRNA from 1 species